GGCAGUGGUGGCUAAAUGGUUAAGGCUCUGGGUUACUGAUUAAGCCCUGGGUUCAAGCCCCAGCACUGUCA